rnacentral:rRNA from 1 species
GAUAACCCGGCGAAAGUCGGACUAAUACCUUAUGAGGUUUUCAGCAGACAUCUAAAGAAAACGAAAGAUUUAUCGGUCAGUGAUGGGGAUGCGUCUGAUUAGCUUGUUGGCGGGGUAACGGCCCACCAAGGCAACGAUCAGUAGGGGUUCUGAGGGGAAGGUCCCCCACAUUGGAACUGAGACACGGUCCAAACUCCUACGGGAGGCAGCAGUGAGGAAUAUUGGUCAAUGGGCGCGAGCCUGAACCAGCCAAGUAGCGUGCAGGAUGACGGCCCUAUGGGUUGUAAACUGCUUUUGUAUGGGGAUAAAGUCAAUCACGUGUGAUUGUUUGCAGGUACCAUACGAAUAAGGACCGGCUAAUUCCGUGCCAGCAGCCGCGGUAAUACGGAAGGUCCGGGCGUUAUCCGGAUUUAUUGGGUUUAAAGGGAGCGUAGGCCGGAGAUUAAGUGUGUUGUGAAAUGUAGACGCUCAACGUCUGACUUGCAGCGCAUACUGGUUUCCUUGAGUACGCAC